rnacentral:rRNA from 1 species
GUGGGGAAUUUUGGACAAUGGGCGCAAGCCUGAUCCAGCAAUGCCGCGUGCAGGAAGAAGGCCUUCGGGUUGUAAACUGCUUUUGUACGGAACGAAACGGUUCUCUCUAAUACAGGGAGCUAAUGACGGUACCGUAAGAAUAAGCACCGGCUAACUACGUGCCAGCAGCCGCGGUAAUACGUAGGGUGCAAGCGUUAAUCGGAAUUACUGGGCGUAAAGCGUGCGCAGGCGGUUUUGUAAGACAGAGGUGAAAUCCCCGGGCUCAACCUGGGAGCUGCCUUUGGGACUGCAAGGCUGGAGUGCGGCAGAGGGGGAUGGAAUUCCGCGUGUAGCAGUGAAAUGCGUAGAUAUGCGGAGGAACACCGAUGGCGAAGGCAAUCCCCUGGGCCUGCACUGACGCUCAUGCACGAAAGCGUGGGGAGCAAACAGGAUUAGAAACCCGGGUAGUCC